rnacentral:lncRNA from 1 species
UUUCCACAGUCUUAUUCAUCUUCAGAUCAUUCAUUCUUCCUUUUUUCUUCCCAAAUCAGGAUUAGGAUCCUAACAAUUUAAUACUAUGGUUUUUAACUAUUUUGCUACUCUAAUCUUUUGCAAUCCUCUUAGUUCUUACUAAUCUCACACUGUAGGCCCUCAUUUUCUUUUUUGUUUUUACAAAUUUGAUUUGAAUAUUGUCGCAAUGGUUUUUAACUAUUAGAAUUGCAAUAUGGUGUUGUAAACUUCUUCUUUAGAAAAAGAUUGAAUGAAAAUUUUUCGACGAACCAUGGAACAAUGCCAACAAUUUUGAGUUUAUUUUGUUUUUCAGCAAGUUCGCAUAGAAAAUUAACAAAGAAGCAUGAAGAGACAAAUAACAAAUUGAUAGACGAAUGAUACAUAAAAUUGCAGGAUACUCUUAAGAAAGAAGAU